AACGUAGGACGCAAGCGUUAUCCGGAGUUACUGGGCGUAAAGCGCGGGCAGGCGGCUCGUGAAGUCUGAUGUGAAAGCGCCCGGCUCAACCGGGCGAGGCCAUUGGAAACUCUCGAGCUGGAGGCAGUAGAGGCAGGCGGAAUUCCGGGUGUAGCGGUGGAAUGCGUAGAGAUCCGGAAGAACACCGGUGGCGAAGGCGGCCUGCUGGGCAGUGGCUGACGCUGAGGCGCGACAGCGUGGGGAGCAAACAGG
rnacentral:rRNA from 1 species